AUGGACAGGUCAUCAGUGGAUUUUGGGACUACAAGAGAACAGUUGUGGAUCUGUCUAGAAAUACCUGUUCCAACCCAUAAAAUUAAGGAAACGGACAAGUCACUGUUCUUUGUCUCGCCUGAUUGUAACCAAUUCCACCUGUUGGCAUCACCGAAGUUGAAGUAGUAAGCAAAUUAUUCAUCUAUGUUAAUUCUUCUAUCAUGCAAAAUACACGUUUUUAGAAUUACUGGGAUUAUUUUAAAAUCCUGCAUUUAAGGUAGGAUCUUACCCUAGCAAUUUUGAAAGUAGCUUAGCACAAAGGAAAUGCAAUGUGGGGCAGUGAUUUCCAGUUCUAUUUUGAGCUUUGUACAAGUGACCUGGGAAUAUCAAAGGCUGAAUAACUGCUGACAAAACAACUGGAUCUUCUGUUGAAGAGGGACUGGCAAAGUCUGGCAUUUCUCAAGGCCAAUUUUGUAACCUGACAUUCUU
rnacentral:lncRNA from 1 species